rnacentral:rRNA from 1 species
GACGAACGCUGGCGGCGUGCCUAAUACAUGCAAGUUGAGCGCUGAAGGUUGGUACUUGUACCAACUGGAUGAGCAGCGAACGGGUGAGUAACGCGUGGGGAAUCUGCCUUUGAGCGGGGGACAACAUUUGGAAACGAAUGCUAAUACCGCAUAAAAACUUUAAACACAAGUUUUAAGUUUGAAAGAUGCAAUUGCAUCACUCAAAGAUGAUCCCGCGUUGUAUUAGCUAGUUGGUGAGGUAAAGGCUCACCAAGGCGAUGAUACAUAGCCGACCUGAGAGGGUGAUCGGCCACAUUGGGACUGAGACACGGCCCAAACUCCUACGGGAGGCAGCAGUAGGGAAUCUUCGGCAAUGGACGAAAGUCUGACCCGAGCAAACGCCGCGUGAGUGAAAGAAAGGUUUUUCG